rnacentral:rRNA from 1 species
GACGAACGCUGGCGGCGUGCUUAACACAUGCAAGUCGAACGGAAAGGCCCUGCUUGCAGGGUGCUCGAGUGGCGAACGGGUGAGUAACACGUGGGUGAUCUGCCCCUUACUUUGGGAUAAGCCUGGGAAACUGGGUCUAAUACUGGAUAGGACCAUGCUGUAGGUGGUGUGGUGGAAAGAUUAGUUUCGGUAAGGGAUGAGCUCGCGGCCUAUCAGCUUGUUGGUGGGGUAAUGGCCUACCAAGGCGUCGACGGGUAGCCGGCCUGAGAGGGUGGACGGCCACAUUGGGACGGAGAUACGGCCCAGACUCCUACGGGAGGCAGCAGUGGGGAAUAUUGCACAAUGGGCGCAAGCCUGAUGCAGCGACGCCGCGUGGGGGAUGACGGCCUCCGGGUUGUAAACUCCUUUCAGCCAUGACGAAGCCCUUGUGGUGACGGUAGUGGUAGAAGAAGCACCGGCUAACUACGUG